CACUGGCAGGCAGAUUCUUUACCACUCAGCCACCUGGGAAGCCCAAGAAAUGAGAUGAAGACUGCAUUAGAGACACUGAAAACAGAGCAGAUCAGGUGGAAGAGAGAAUGAGCAAGUCAGAGCAUAAGAAUUUGGAAAUGAUUUAGGGGAGGAAAUCUGUCAAGAUGGUGGAACAGAAAGAUCCUGAGCUCACAUUUUCUCCAGGCACACCCAAAUAAACGCGAUCUGCAGAACAAGCAUUGAUGAAAAAGACCAAAACCUACCAAAAAACAUCUAUAACUAAAGACACAAAGGAGGAGCCACAACAGGACCCAGGGAGAAGCAGUGACUUCACAGAAGCCUGGGUCAGACCUCCUGCUGAUCCUGGAAAGUCUCCUUGCGAGGCAAGAAGCACCUGCAGCUCAUCCUGGAGACACAGGACAAGAAAACAUCUACAACCAAUAAAUGCUGCACAGAGUGUGAAGGAAAAGGAAUAUUAUUACACUGCUGGUGGGAAUGUAAACUGAUAUAGCCACUAUGGAGAACGGUAUAGAGGUUCCUUAAAACACUAAGAAUAGAUGUUGCUGGUUGAAGAUGGCAGAGAGGAAGAAGUGUGCUCAUCUCCUCCUGUGAGAACACCAAAAUUGCAGCUAGCUGUUGAACAACCAUGGACAGGAGGACA